AUAAUGACUCUCGGCAACGGAUAUCUAGGCUCUUGCAUCGAUGAAGAACGUAGCGAAAUGCGAUACUUGGUGUGAAUUGCAGAAUCCCGUGAACCAUCGAGUCUUUGAACGCAAGUUGCGCCCGAAGCCAUCAGGUUGAGGGCACGUCUGCCUGGGCGUCACAU
rnacentral:rRNA from 11 species